UUUUGGGGUUCCUGGGUGUCACGCAGAUCUUGGUGGAACCUCCAAAUGAAAGAAACUAGUGGGGAAACCCCCACUCAAUUCCCAAUUCAGCGUGCACCCAAAGAAUCACGAACAGACCG
rnacentral:pre_miRNA from 7 species